rnacentral:lncRNA from 1 species
AUGUUCCUAAUCAGUCUCUGUUCCUCAUCAGUCUUUGUUCCUCAUCAGUCUUUGUUCCUCAUCAGUCUUUGUUCCUUCAUAGUCUUUGUUCCAUCACAGUCUAUGUUCCUCAUCAGUCCUUGUUCCUCAUCAGUCUCUGUUCCUUUACAGUCUUUGUUCCUCAUCAGUCUCUGUUCCUUCACAGUCUCUGUUCCUCAUCAGUCUCUGUUCCUCAUCAGUCUUUGUUCCUCAUCAGUCUCUGUUCCUCAUCAGUCUUUGUUCCUAUCACAGUUUCUGUUCCUCAUCAGUCUUUGUUCCUCAUCAGUCUCUGUUCCUCAUCAGUCUUUGUUCCUCAUCAGUCUCUGUUCCUCAUCAGUCUUUGUUCCUAUCAGUCUUUGUUCCAUCACAGUCUAUGUUCCUCGUCAGUCCUUGUUCCUCGCCAAUCUUUGUUCCUUCACAGGCUUUGUUCCUCAUCAGUCUUUGUUCCUUCACAGUCUUUGUUCCUUCACAGUCUCUGUUCCUCAUCAGUCUUUGUUCCUUCACAGUCUUUGUUCCUUCACAGUGUCUGUUCCUCAUCAGUCUCUUUGUUCCUUCACAGUCUUUGUUCCUUCACAGUGUCUGUUCCUCAUCAGUCCUUGUUCCUCAUCAGUCUUUGUUCCUCGUCAAUCUUUGUUCCUUUUCAGUCUCUGUUCCUUCACAGUCUCUGUUCCUUCACAGUCUUUGUUUCUCAUCAGUCUCUGUUCCUUCACAGUCUUUGUUCCUCAUCAGUCUCUGUUCCUUCACAGUCUUUGUUCCUCAUCAGUCUCUGUUCCUUCACAGUCUCUGUUCCUCAUCAGUUUCUGUUCCUCAUCAGUCUUUGUUCCUCAUCAGUCUCUGUUCCUCAUCAGUCUUUGUUCCUAUCAGUCUUUGUUCCAUCACAGUCUAUGUUCCUCGUCAGUCCUUGUUCCUCGCCAAUCUUUGUUCCUUCACAGGCUUUGUUCCUCAUCAGUCUUUGUUCCUUCACAGUCUUUGUUCCUUCACAGUCUCUGUUCCUCAUCAGUCUUUGUUCCUUCACAGUCUUUGUUCCUUCACAGUGUCUGUUCCUCAUCAGUCCUUGUUCCUCAUCAGUCUUUGUUCCUUGUCAAUCUUUGUUCCUUUUCAGUCUCUGUUCCUUCACAGUCUCUGUUCCUUCACAGUCUCUGUUCCUCAUCAGUCUUUGUUUCUCAUCAGUCUCUGUUCCUCCACAGUCUUUGUUCCUCCACAGUCUCUGUUCCUCAUCAGUCUUUGUUCCUCAUCAGUCUUUGUUCCUUCACAGUCUCUGUUCCUUCACAGUCUCUGUUCCUUCACAGUCUUUGUUCCUUCACAGUCUUUGUUCCUCAUCAGUCUUUGUUCCUCAUCAGUCUUUGUUCCUCAUCAGUCUCUGUUCCUUCACAGUCUCUGUUCCUCAUCAGUCUCUGUUCCUUCACAGUCUUUGUUCCUCAUCAGUCUUUGUUCCUCAUCAGUCUUUGUUCCUCAUCAGUCUUUGUUCCUUAUCAGUCUUUAUUCCUCAUCAGUCUUUGUUCCUUCACAGUCUCUGUUCCUCAUCAGUCUUUGUUCCUCAUCAGUCUUUGUUCCUCAUCAGUCUUUGUUCCUCAUCAGUCUUUGUUCCUCAUCAGUCUUUGUUCCUCAUCAGUCUUUGUUCCUUCACAGUCUCUGUUCCUCAUCAGUCUCUGUUCCUCAUCAGUCUCUGUUCCUUCACAGUCUUUGUUCCUCAUCAGUCUUUGUUCCUCAUCAGUCUUUGUUCCUCAUCAGUCUUUGUUCCUUAUCAGUCUUUAUUCCUCAUCAGUCUUUGUUCCUUCACAGUCUCUGUUCCUCAUCAGUCUCUGUUCCUCAUCAGUCUUUAUUCCUCAUCAGUCUUUGUUCCUUCACAGUCUCUGUUCCUCAUCAGUCUCUGUUCCUCAUCAGUCUUUGUUCCUUCACAGUCUUUGUUCCUUCACAGUCUCUGUUCCUCAUCAGUCUCUGUUCCUCAUCAGUCUUUGUUCCUUCACAGUCUCUGUUCCUCAUCAGUCUUUGUUCCUCAUCAGUGUCUGUUCCUUCACAGUCUUUGUUCCUCAUCAGUCUUUGUUCCUCAUCAGUCUUUGUUCCUUCACAGUUUCUGUUCCUUCACAGUCUUUGUUCCUCAUCAGUCUUUGUUCCUCAUCAGUCUUUGUUCCUCAUCAGUCUUUCCUCAUCAUCGCCAUCACACUGGAAGCAGAAAGCUUCAGUAAUUGAAACUGAUUGGAUCUCAAUCAGUUUAAUCUGGUGAAACGUCCGGCUGCUUCCAUCAGCACAUUCAAUCCUCCACACGGCAAAACAAUCUCCCACUUAUUG